GGGGCUAUGGUUCAAUGGUAGAAUAUCGGUCUCCAAAACCGAGGAUCGGGGUUCGAUUCCCUGUGGCCCCGCCC
rnacentral:tRNA from 1 species